rnacentral:rRNA from 1 species
UACGGGGGGGGCAAGCGUUGUUCGGAAUUACUGGGCGUAAAGGGCUCGUAGGCGGCCAACUAAGUCAGACGUGAAAUCCCUCGGCUUAACCGGGGAACUGCAUCUGAUACUGGAUGGCUUGAGUUCGGGGGAGGGAUGCGGAAUUCCAGGUGUAGCGGUGAAAUGCGUAGAUAUCUGGAGGAACACCGGUGGCGAAGGCGGCAUCCUGGACCGACACUGACGCUGAGGAGCGAAAGCCAGGGGAGCAAACGGG